rnacentral:tRNA from 2 species
GAGGGAUUAGCUCAGUUGGUUUAGAGCGCUACCUUGACAGGGUAGAGGUCAUCGGUUCGAAUCCGUUAUUCCUCA